AUCAACAGAAGAAGCACCGGCUAACUACGUGCCAGCAGCCGCGGUAAUACGUAGGGUGCGAGCGUUAAUCGGAAUUACUGGGCGUAAAGGGUGCGCAGGCGGUUCUGUAAGUCAGAUGUGAAAUCCCCGGGCUUAACCUGGGAACUGCGUUUGAAACUACAGAGCUAGAGUGUGGCAGAGGGGGGUGGAAUUCCAUGUGUAGCAGUGAAAUGCGUAGAGAUAUGGAAGAACAUCGAUGGCGAAGGCAGCCCCCUGGGUCAACACUGACGCUCAUGCACGAAAGCGUGGGGAGCAAACAGGAUUAGAUACCCUGGUAGUCCACGCCCUAAACUAUGUCAACUAGUUGUCGGGCCUUAUUAGGUUUGGUAACGUAGCUAACGCGUGAAGUUGACCGCCUGGGGAGUACGGUCGCAAGAUUAAAACUCAAAGGAAUUGACGGGGAC
rnacentral:rRNA from 1 species